UCAGAAUUUUUCCGUGCUAUGACGCCAUCCUGGAGUGCACAAAGCACUUUGUACCUAUGUUUGUCCUGUGAAAAACUUCCAUGUGCACUCCAGGAUGGCGUCAUAUGGUGGUGUAUUUUCUCGUCAGCACUCGUAAAACUUCGGACAAAAUAUUGUCUGGGUGACACUCCUGGUCCAGUACCUAUUCCGGGCUUUAAUUGUCUUAUGAUUUAUCAUGAUGGGAUACAUUUCACUACACUUUACAUGGGGGAUCUUGGAACAAGGGCCGAUCCACUGAGCGAAAGAGCAUGGGUGGAAAAGAGUGAAGGAAAGGAAAGGCAAAGGCCUCUGUGGAGGAGACAGGGCACGCAACAUGUACGCACUGCGUACCUAUUUUUUAAAGAGUAGCUGUCAGUGCCUUUUUAAGGAAUUUAGCAGCGGGGGGGAAGAAAAAAAUUCUUCAAGACAGCAAAAAUGUCGGACGUCACGUUUUGAAAAAUUUGUUUGAAUUUGACAUUGCUAUUAUCAACAAACCGUCGAAAAGCGGAAAAUUAUCGUAAAAACGUCGUGAAAAAAUUUCCUUCGAAAAUAACCUUUACUUUGACACGAUGGCUUUGGUUAAAUUUGCUCGCAGCCCACAUCAGAUUAUAGGUCCACUAGCGGCUCGCAACUGAUCAAUCCAGAUCACUCGCUACGCGUAGGAAUUUGAUACAAGUUUUCCAACAUGGGAAGUAAACAAUUAAACAUGUUCUGCUUUUAUUUUUCUCAGAAUGGACAACCAAUAGACAUCCAAUAAAGAUCUUUCAAUUUUAUGUGACUAAAAUUUAAAAUCUAAAAUAACUAAAAUUUUUGGGUGAUGCAUUAUCUGUCUGAAGGCCAAUUUACACUAUACAACUUUUGCCCAAAGCCUGGUUUCCAUAUGGUCGUAACGGUCGUAAAGAUUGAGUCACGAUCUUUCUCAACAGCCGAAUGUAUAAUUUCAAUGUGGUUUAUAGGUAAAAACUAUUACCCUUUUCAAAUCGAGCGGAGGACUAGGUCUAGUCGCUUGUUUGGAGGGACAAAAAAUAAACAAUAUGCCGAAUAUGGCAUCUAGGAAGUUUUCCUACAUUCCUAAAGUUAUUUGUGCAGCCUGAAACGCAACAAUUUUAAAAAGGAAUCUUUUAAUAUAUAUUUAGCUCGCUCACUAUAACUUGUUGUCCCUCGAAACGUCCCUCCAAACAUCAAGUAGACCCAGUCCUCUGCUCGAGUGGGAAAUGGCUAAUUAUAAUCUGGCUGAUGAGAAAGAUCAUAACUUUAUCUUAUAUGAUCGUUACAACCAUAUAUGGAAACCUGGC